GCUUCAUUUAAUGUGUUUAUUUAUUCACCUUUUAUUCUUGCUGAUGCUUUGUCCUUGGUUUUCACUCUUGCCUUUUGUGUUUUUACCUGGGCUUGCUUUCAUUGCUUUAAAAAAAAUAUAUCUUUAUAGUUUUUAUGCAUUUUAUAGUUUGUAUAUGCAUUGGAAUUAUAUUUGUUAGAAUGUUAGGGAUGUUUGUCUAAAUGAGUAUGUUAUAGUGUAUGACUGGAGGAUAAAUGUGUAUAGAACAUAGAGAUUUCAUUAACCCUUCCCAUUUCCCUGCAAUGUCUUAACUUUUUGUGAGUGCAGCAACAACUCAAAGCCAGGUCCUUAAGCUCCUUCAUAUUAAUCUGCA
rnacentral:misc_RNA from 1 species